CGUCGGUCUAGUUUUAGCGGACGAAAAGCCGGAUUCCUUCACCGGCCUGACUGGCGCCCCAAUUGAUGAGGG
rnacentral:sRNA from 12 species